rnacentral:rRNA from 1 species
UACGUAGGUGGCAAGCGUUGUUCGGAUUUACUGGGCGUAAAGCGCGUGUAGGCGGCUUUGCAAGUCGGAUGUGAAAGCCCACGGCUCAACCGUGGAAGUGCAUCCGAAACUGUCUGGCUAGAGUCCGGAAGAGGAGAAUGGAAUUCCUGGUGUAGCGGUGAAAUGCGCAGAUAUCAGGAAGAACACCCGUGGCGAAGGCGGUUCUCUGGGACGGUACUGACGCUGAGACGCGAAAGCGUGGGGAGCGAACAGG